rnacentral:tRNA from 1 species
UCCCUGAUAGCUCAGUUGGUAAAGAAUCUGCCUGCAAUGCAGGAGACCCUGGUUUGAUUCCUGGGUUGGGAG